UUGCAGGACCUUGUAGCUAAUCCAAAAUGCUCUUUGCUUGUAGCAAAAGAUCCUGAGGAUAGGACUGAUUUAAUUAUAACCCUGCACGGUGAUGUUGUUUCUGUCUCUGAAAAUGAUAGAGAAGCUAUCAGUACUGCAUACUUGGCAAGGCAUCCAAUGCAUUCUGGAUCAUGGAGGUUCUUAUUCAGAUAGCAAAUCUCAUAUCUCCUUGGAGUUGAUGGCAAGUAUGACAGUAUGUCAAGUUUCCAGAAAAAACCGAAGGAAGGGAAUGUCGGGUUGAUUAAUUUUUUCUAAUUAAUGGCAAGU